UACGGAGGGGGCAAGCGUUGUUCGGAAUUACUGGGCGUAAAGGGUGCGUAGGCGGUUGUUUAAGUCUGUCGUGAAAUCCCCGGGCUCAACCUGGGAAUGGCGAUGGAUACUGGGCAGCUAGAGUGUGUCAGAGGAUGGUGGAAUUCCCGGUGUAGCGGUGAAAUGCGUAGAGAUCGGGAGGAACAUCAGUGGCGAAGGCGGCCAUCUGGGACAACACUGACGCUGAAGCACGAAAGCGUGGGGAGCAAACAGG
rnacentral:rRNA from 1 species